rnacentral:rRNA from 1 species
UACGUAGGGGGCAAGCGUUGUCCGGAUUUAUUGGGCGUAAAGAGCGUGUAGGCGGCUAGAUAGGUCCGUUGUGAAAACUCGAGGCUCAACCUCGAGACGUCGAUGGAAACCAUCUAGCUAGAGUCCGGAAGAGGAGAGUGGAAUUCCUGGUGUAGCGGUGAAAUGCGCAGAUAUCAGGAAGAACACCAAUGGCGAAGGCAGCUCUCUGGGACGGUACUGACGCUGAGACGCGAAAGCGUGGGGAGCGAACAGG